rnacentral:rRNA from 1 species
AUUGAACGCUGGCGGCAGGCCUAACACAUGCAAGUCGAGCGGAGCGGCGGACGGGUUCGUAAUGCCUAGGACUCUGCCUGGUAGUUGGGGAUAACGUCCGGAAACGUGCGCUAAUACCGCAUCCUAUCAGCUGAGCCUAGGUCGGAUUUGCGAGUUGGUGGGGUAAAGGCCUACCAAGGCGACGAUCCGUAACUGGUCUGAGCGGAUGAUCAGUCACACUGGAAAUGAGAAACGGUACAGACUGCUACGGGAGGCAGAAGUGGGGAAUAUUGGACAAUGGGCGAAAGCCUGAUCCAGCCAUGACGCGGGUGUGAAGAAGGUCUUCGGAUUGUAAAGCACUUUAAGUUGGGAGGCGUUACCAACAGAAUAAGCACCGGCUAACUUCGUGCCAGCAGCCGCGGUAAUAC